CUGUUGCUGUAAUAGGAAGAGGAAGUGCGGCUAGAAGCCGCGCCUACGCUCAGCGCUUGUGCUGGAGAUGAGAAGAUACCAAACAUCAGUACAUGAGACGCCGCUUGAAGAAGAUCUCGAAGCGCAGGUCGUCUUCGAUCACCAAAGAGAUGUUAUAGUGCGAAAGGAAGCAUCCCAGCUCUCCUUUGGUCAGCGGGCGGCCGUGAUAAGGGUCGCUGUAGCCGGGGAGCAUGCGGAUGCCCAUAUUUUCAACGUCACUGGUGUUCAAAGCCCUUCAAGCAGACGAGGGGAACAGGAAAGUUGCAGGAUAGUGGUCCUCGAGGACAGGAUUGACGGUAUAAGGUCAUGACUCACUUUCCAUCGACAGCCUCCGUGACCUUGCAGUCAAUCUCCUGCUGGUAAAGAGCUCUCAGCAUGCGUUCCCGGCGGUCGGUCCGCCUUUGGAGGUUGAUCAUGAAGACCUGGAUGCAUGAGCAGCAGGGGAGAGGGAAUAUAUUCGGACGGCAACACCGGGGGAUGUCGCACUGCGAAGACAGACAAUUCUCACGUUAGUUUACAGUUUAGCCGAGUUAGCACUUCCACUCCUCACCUUCAACCUCCAUCAGGCAAUGCAUGAAGCUCUCGGCCUCGUCUUGCAAAGUAUUGUGGCCACGCAGCGGCACGGGGAGGUAGCCGUACGUCUCCCGGUUGCACACGAACAUCUGCACGUCUGUCCGAGCCAGAGGAUGAUAUAGUUAGCGUAAAACAAAGAAAGCAAACUAGAAAGGCACUCUAAGGAGGAUAUUUUUAAACGUAGAUUCGUUGAAAAAAAAUCUUUGAGUGUUUUAUAGAAAAAAAACAUCCACUUAAAAUGUAUGUCACAACAUGUGGUGCUGUAACCUCGAACUUUAUGUAGCCGCAAGACCGUUUUGAUGUGCUAUUAUUUUGACACAACCCGACAUUUUCCAUCUUUCACAUCAGACUUCAACUGUGAGCUAUUUAUAACCUCCAUCAACAUUUAAAGACUC